rnacentral:rRNA from 1 species
AUACGUAGGGGGCGAGCGUUGAUCGGAAUGAUUGGGCGUAAAGGGCGCGCAGGCGGCCCGGUAAGUCUGGAGUGAAAGUCCUGUUUUUAAGAUGGGAAUUGCUUUGGAUACUGUCGGGCUUGAGUGCAGGAGAGGUAAGUGGAAUUCCCAGUGUAGCGGUGAAAUGCGUAGAGAUUGGGAAGAACACCGGUGGCGAAGGCGCCUUUCUGGACUGUGUCUGACGCUCAGAUGCGAAAGCCAGGGUAGCGAACGGGAUUAGAGACCCCGGUAGUCCUGGCCGUAAACGAUGGGUACUAGGUGUGUGAGGUAUCGACGCCUUCCGUGCCGGAGUUAACGCGAUAAGUACUCCGCCCGGGGAGUACGGCCGCAAGGCUGAAACUCAAAUGAAUUGACGGGG